rnacentral:lncRNA from 1 species
CCCCAGCUGCCGUUGCCCGCCCCGUGGGACUAGGGAUUGCCGGAGAUCUCGGAGAGGACCGGGGCGGGGGAACUUUCAAAGGCCGGAUCGGCGACCCGGAGGGGAAGUGCCGGAGCUCCCCCAGGCAGCAGACAAAACUCUCUGUCUGCCGGUAGCAGAGGGGCCACGCUGAGCACUCAGGGCUCCCGGCAGAGGCCCGGAGAGAAGCCCAGAGGGCGGGGCGACCCCCAGCUGCUGUUGCCCGCCCCGUGGGACUAGGGAUUGCCGGAGAUCUCGGAGAGGACCGGGGCGGGGGAACUUUCAAAGGCGGGUCCGGCGAUCCGGUGGAGAAGCGCCGGAGCUCCGCCCGGGCAGCAGACAAAACUCUCUGUCUGCCGGUAGCAGAGGGGCCACGCCCAGCAUUCAGGGCUCCCGGCAGAGGCCCGGAGAGAAGCCCAGAGGGCGGGGCGACCCCCAGCUGCCGUUGCCCACCCGGUGAGGCUAGGGAUUGCCGGAGAUCUCGGAGAGGACUGGGGCUGGAGAGAGUUCCAGAGACCCAGCUUAGUAGCCUAGGGGGAAACCCUACAGGCUCACAGAAGCCUUAGGGAAAGCCUCUGCACAGCACCAGUAGAAGGCACCCAGCCGCCAGCCACAAGGCUGGAAGACCCCAGGGCAAAAGCAGCAUAGCUAGGUGUACUAACCACAGACUGUAGAAGAUGCCAAUAGCUCUCCUGCGACCCAUAGAGGACAAGUGAGAUUUGGUGGGUGCCGACAGCAACCGAGCGACAAAUAAAAGUGAUCCCACCCCUGGCUGCUGGAAAAGCCCAUAACACCGUUGCAGACCCCAAGGAGAGAGCGCAUCUAGGUGGGCAACAACAGUAGGCACCUGCAGUCUGAAGCCCCCCGUGACGGCCCCCACG